UCAAUAUUAUUGAUAUUGAACAUUUCCAUAUGAAUGGAAAUGCAUCUUUCUUCAUUGUUUCCUAAACUCUAUUGAAUAUCGACAAUUCAACAUGAAUUUCCUAUUAUUAUUUAGGGUAAG
rnacentral:tRNA from 1 species